UUUUUCCAUUGCAAAUGAUGGUGGUACCUAUAUAGAAUAUUUAAAUGUUUUUCUUUGACCCUUAAUUUAGUUUACAUUUGAUGUUUCAUUUAUAUAUUUCAGAGUGCUGGUAUCAGAUUUACCAUUGAGGAUAUUAAUGACAACCCGCCCAGGUUCACACAGCUGGCGUAUCAUGUUAAUGUGUCAGAGCAUCAUGAAUUAGGAGAGAAAAUCUUUACAUUUGGAUCUAGAGCUGAAGACCCUGAUGUACAUGGUCUAAUAAGAGAGUUUCGACUGUUGGAUGAUGGAGAUGGUUUCUUUAGGAUAGGAACACCUGUUGUCAAUGGUGACUUGAUCCUAAAUCAUGCUUUAGAUUAUGAGACUGGAAGGAGACAUUUUACACUUAUUGUUCAGGCAGUUGAUGAUGGUAGCAGUGGAGAACCUUUGACUGCCAAUGCAACUGUCAUAGUACAGGUUCUGGACUGGGAUGACAAGCCUCCAAAGUUUGAGAAGGAUUUCUAUAACUUAAACCUGCCAGCAAAUGAUGCCUCAGUUGUGGGAGUAGAUUUACUCAUUCUACCUGAACCAAUCAGAGCCUAUGAUCAGGAUUUGGGGAUAAAUAUGACAGUGCUGUACAGUAUAG